rnacentral:rRNA from 1 species
UUCCCCGAGUAGCUGCGAGCGAAACGGGAAGAGCUCAGCACGCAGAGGUGAUGCACUGAGGCGCAUCCACCUGGUUCCGUGUACUGGAAAGUUCGUCAUCUGCCGUAACCAGCGGUUACCAGUUCAAGUUCAACUAGAAUGUGGCUUUUACUCCCAGAGAGGGUGAUAGGCCCGUAGAACGGCGCUGAUGGCAGAAGAGCUUUCCACGGAGUCGUGUUGCUUGAUAGUGCAGCACAAAGUGGGAGGUAAACUCCUUCUAAAGCUAAAUAUCACCACGAGACCGAUAGCGAACAAGUACCGUGAGGGAAAGUUGAAAAGCACUCUGAAUAGAGAGUCAAACAGUACGUGAAACUGCCUAGGGCUCAAGCCCGUUGAACUCGAUUAUCCGAGCGGAGACAUUCACCGGCGGUGGUUCCAAUCCGCCGCCGGGCACUUGUCUCCCGCGCCCCCACGAGGACAUUGCGAUCCAUUACGAAACAGCUUUGGCGUCGCAAGACGCAAGGUCGCCCGACAGUUGCCCCCUGGUGCCGGUUGCUUGCCCCACCGUAGCGACGCUCAGUUCUGAAGGCCUGUGCCGCGAGCUGGGGCUUACUGCACGUGGUGUUUGCAGUCGGGCGCGUGAUGGAUUUACCCGCACACCGUCGGCCUUCCCGCAACGGGCCGGCGGACUGUCGAUCGGCAAUGAUAAAAUCGAGGUACCUCCGGGACCCGUCUUGAAACACGGACCAAGAAGUCUAUCUUGCGCGCGAGCCAAUGGUCGUCCUCCGGAACACCAAAGGCGCAAAAAACAUAACUUGAGUUGUGCGGGAUUACGGGCGCGGCUCUCCGCAGCGUCCCUCCAUCCCCGGGUGUUGUAGCCGGCAUGCGGUGGCGGGCGUUCGCCGUCCGCCAUCGUGCCACAACA